AUUGAACGCUGGCGGCAUGCUUUACACAUGCAAGUCGAACGGUAACAGGGAGCUUGCUCCGCUGACGAGUGGCGAACGGGUGAGUAAUGCGUCGGAACGUGCCGAGUAGUGGGGGAUAACGCAUCGAAAGGUGUGCUAAUACCGCAUACGAACUGAGGUUGAAAGUGGGGGACCUUCGGGCCUCACGCUAUUCGAGCGGCCGACGUCUGAUUAGCUAGUUGGUGAGGUAAAGGCUCACCAAGGCGACGAUCAGUAGCGGGUCUGAGAGGAUGAUCCGCCACACUGGGACUGAGACACGGCCCAGACUCCUACGGGAGGCAGCAGUGGGGAAUUUUGGACAAUGGGCGCAAGCCUGAUCCAGCCAUGCCGCGUGUCUGAAGAAGGCCUUCGGGUUGUAAAGGACUUUUGUCCGGGAGCAAAUGCUGGUGGCUAACAUCCACCGGAGCUGAGAGUACCGGAAGAAUAAGCCCCGGCUAACUUCGUGCCAGCAGCCGCCGUAAGAC
rnacentral:rRNA from 1 species